AGUUGGCAGCAGAGGCCAUCUCGCAGCAAGUUUCAUUCCAGUUUUGCUGUGGUUCUAUGUGCCGAACCUACUAGGAAAAUCAUGGUCUGUUCUCCAGGCCUCCUCAGAAGGUUAGAUCGCAUUGAAGGACACAGUUCUACCGGGAACAAAGCGCUGCGGAGCACUGGAAGGGCAGCAAACACUAGGAGAGCAGAAGAGGCAGGUGGGUGGAGCUGCAAUCUUGCUCUUCGACUAGAUGGCAACAGAGAUAUGCAAUAUGAAGUUUGGACAGACUUUAAGGACUCCCUCGUACCGUUUUCCUGGUAUAAACAUGCCUGAAGUUGUUGAUGAAGAGAGUGACUCCUCUGGGAAAGAGGGCGUUUCGGCAGCAGCCGGUCCUACGUGCUGUGGCAGAGACGGCACAGCAGCACCCAGCCCCAGUACGGAAACGGUUAUCAGUGAAGCGCCUGGAAUUUAAAACGAGUCUUAACGUUCAGGUCUUUUUGUGUCUAAAUCUUUCUGUGCUACGAAAAUAAUGUCUUCUUUGUUAGCCCAGGGCUUUUGCAAGCCAGGUGCUGCUCCCAGAGCGCUCCCUAAGAAACUUCCUGCAUGCUAAUUUCUUCUGAGUCUGCUCCCAGGGAACUCGACAGACAGCAAAAUCAAUUACAGCAGCUCCACUUUUAUCGUCUCAAUAUAUCAGAUAUUCAUGUAGGAUUUCACUUAGAGCAAACUAAACAAAAACCUUUGAAAGCCACUGGUCUAACAAACAAAUGCUUUACCUUAUAGGAAAAAUUAUCAUUAUGGUUUUGUGCAAGACCAAUUUAUUUAAAUUAAUCUUUCCAAACCACCAUCUAAGGAGUGUGUUUUCCUCUUGUAAUUGCUUCUUCUCAGCCUUUAUUUGUAUGUUGCAUUUACACACAUACUCUUGUGCCUUUUAAAGCUUAAAAUAUAUUAAUAAUAAAAUCAUGAAUAUUUUUGAUAUUACAUAUGUAAAACCAGGAAAAUACAUAGCAGAAGCAAUCAUGACAGACCAGAGGGGGCAUUCAGUAGAUGGCACAUAUUCUCAAAUAUUGAUAGAGUUUUUA